rnacentral:rRNA from 1 species
UACGUAGGGUGCAAGCGUUGUCCGGAAUUAUUGGGCGUAAAGAGCUCGUAGGCGGUCUGUCGCGUCGGCUGUGAAAACUCGGGGCUCAACUCCGAGCUUGCAGUCGAUACGGGCAGGCUAGAGUUCGGCAGGGGAGACUGGAAUUCCUGGUGUAGCGGUGAAAUGCGCAGAUAUCGGGAGGAACACCAGUAGCGAAGGCGACACUCUGGGCCGGAACUGACGCUGAGGAGCGAAAGCGUGGGGAGCAAACAGG